ACCUCACUAUAUAUAGUUAACCUAGAAUAAAUUCAUCAACAGUCGUCAGUCUUGUUUGAAACAGAUAACAGAGUUUUGAAAAUUUGCAUAAUAUGUACAUGACUAUUAUUUUAUAAACCACUAUAAUUUUAAUUCGUGUUUUUACUGUUGGUUAUGGUAUUAGUUAUAAAAUGAAGUAGCAAUAAUGUAGCAUACCUAAUAAAAAAAUCUUUAUUAUAACAAGAAAGAAACUGACUUAUAUGUUGGUGAACCUAUUGUACUGCAUCAUAAAAGCGGAAGAAGGAGGUGAAAUCAACUUGCCGACUGUUUAGCUGUGGUAAAAGCUAUCAAAUCCAUGAAUCCAGGAACCUAUUCAAUUCUCAAGAACAUCUCUGUCAUAAUGUGGUCGGACCCGUUCACCAAGGAAGGUCGCAGUAAUCAAAGCAUUCAUUUU